CAGCCGCCGCGGUAAUACGAAGGGUGCAAGCGUUAAUCGGAAGUACUGGGCGUAAAGCGUGCGUAGGCGGUGAGUUAAGUCUGCUGUGAAAUCCCCGGGCUCAACCUGGGAAUGGCAGUGGAUACUGGCUCGCUAGAGUGUGUCAGAGGAUGGUGGAAUUCCCGGUGUAGCGGUGAAAUGCGUAGAGAUCGGGAGGAACAUCAGUGGCGAAGGCGGCCAUCUGGGACAACACUGACGCUGAGGCACGAAAGCGUGGGGAGCAAACAGGAUUAGAUACCCCAGUAGUCCCUGUCUCUUAUAC
rnacentral:rRNA from 1 species